UGACCCUACGGGACGCAGCAGUCGGGAAUAUUGCGCAAUGGAGGAAACUCUGACGCAGUGACGCCGCGUAUAGGAAGAAGGUUUUCGGAUUGUAAACUAUUGUCGUUAGGGAAGAAAAAAGACUGUACCUAUCAAGAAAGCUCCGGCUAACUACGUGCCAGCAGCCGCGGUAAUACGUAGGGAGCAAGCGUUAUCCGGAAUUAUUGGGUGUAAAGGGUGCGUAGAUGGGAUGUCAAGUUAGUUGUGAAAUACCUCGGCUCAACUGUGGAACUGCAACUAAACCUAACAUUAU
rnacentral:rRNA from 1 species